UACGAAGGUGGCAAGCGUUACUCGGAAUUACUAGGCGUAAAGGGCAGGUAGGUGGUUCAGUAAGUCUGUCGUGGAAGCUGCCGGCUUAACCGGGAGAGGCCAACGGAAACUACUGAACUUGAGUGUAGGAGAGGGUAUUGGAAUUCCCGGUGUAGCGGUGAAAUGCGCAGAGAUCGGGAGGAACACCAAUGGCGAAAGCAGAUACCUGGACUAUUACUGACACUAAGCUGCGAAAGCUAGGGGAGCAAACAGG
rnacentral:rRNA from 1 species